rnacentral:rRNA from 1 species
UACGGGGGGGGCAAGCGUUGUUCGGAAUUACUGGGCGUAAAGGGCGCGUAGGCGGCAAUUCAAGUCAGCUGUGAAAUCUCCGGGCUUAACUCGGAACGGUCAGCUGAUACUGCUUUGCUAGAGUGCAGAAGGGGCAAUCGGAAUUCUUGGUGGAGCGGUGAAAUGCGUAGAUAUCUGGAGGAACACCGGUGGCGAAGGCGGGUCUCUGGGCCGAUACUGACGCUGAGGAGCGAAAGCGUGGGGAGCGAACAGG